UGAAUACGAGAUGCUACGGCGUCGAAGCAGUCUAUGUCAGACUUCCAAGAAAAGCUUGCACUGUCAAAAACAAAUAAUGCCUGUACCAUAACCGACACAGGUGGGUAGGUAGAGUAUACUAAGGGGCGCGAGAUAACUCUCUCUAAGGAACUCGGCAAAAUGACUCCGUAACUUCGGGAGAAGGAGUGCCUUAUUUUUAAGGUUGCAAUAACAAGAUCCAAGCAACUGUUUACCAAAAACACAGGUCUCCGCGAAGUCGUAAGACGAUGUAUGGGGGCUGACGCCUGCCCAGUGCCAGAAGGUUAAAGAAGUUGGUUAGCAUUCGCGAAGCUGAUAACUGAAGCCCUGGUGAACGGCGGCCGUAACUAUAACGGUCCUAAGGUAGCGAAAUUCCUUGUCGGGUAAGUUCCGACCCGCACGAAAGGCGUAACGACUUCCGCACUGUCUCAACCAGGGACUCAGUGAAAUUGUAUUGGCGGUGAAGAUGCCGUCUACCCGCGAAAAGACGGAAAGACCCCGGCACCUUUACUACAGCUUGACAUUGGAUUUUGAAAUAAUAUGUGUAGGAUAGGUGGGAGGCUUUGAAGCUGGUACGCUAGUAUCGGUGGAGCUACCCUUGAAAUACCACCCUUGUUAUUUUAGGGUUCUAACUUCGACCCGUUAUCCGGGCGAAGGACAGUGUCUGGUGGGUAGUUUGACUGGGGCGGUCGCCUCCCAAAGAGUAACGGAGGCGCGCGAAGGUUCCCUCAGGCUGAUUGGAAACCAGCCAUGGAGUGUAAAGGCAUAAGGGAGCUUGACUGCGAGAGAGACAUUUCGAGCAGGUACGAAAGUAGGUCUUAGUGAUCCGGCGGUCCCGUAUGGAAGGGCCGUCGCUCAACGGAUAAAAGGUACGCCGGGGAUAACAGGCUUAUCGCCCCCAAGAGUUCACAUCGACGGGGCGGUUUGGCACCUCGAUGUCGGCUCAUCACAUCCUGGGGCUGUAGCAGGUCCCAAGGGUUUGGCUGUUCGCCAAUUAAAGUGGUACGUGAGCUGGGUUUAAAACGUCGUGAGACAGUUUGGUCCCUAUCUUUCGUGGGCGCAGGAUAUUUGAGGGGAGCUGUCCCUAGUACGAGAGGACCGGGAUGGACGAACCAAUGGUGUUCCAGUUGUCGCGCCAGCGGCAUUGCUGGGUAGCUAAGUUCGGAAAGGAUAACCGCUGAAAGCAUCUAAGCGGGAAACCUACCUCAAGAUUAGAUAUCCCUCUUGCAUGGAAACAUGCAAAACUGAAGACCCCUUGUAGACCACAAGGUUGAUAGGCCGGGUGUGUAAGUGUGGCAACAUAUUUAGCUUACCGGUACUAAUCGGUCGUGCGGCUU
rnacentral:rRNA from 1 species